GUGCCAGCCGCCGCGGUAAUACCGGCAGCCCGAGUGAUGGCCGAUCUUAUUGGGCCUAAAGCGUCCGUAGCCGGCCGGACAAGUCCGUUGGGAAAUCCACGCGCCUAACGCGUGGGCGUUCAGCGGAAACUGUCCGGCUUGGGGCCGAAAGAUCCGAGGGGUACGUCCGGGGUAGGAGUGAAAUCCCGUAAUCCUGGACGGACCGCCGAUGGCGAAAGCACGUCGCGAGAACGGAUCCGACAGUGAGGGACGAAAGCUAGGGUCUCGAACCGGAUUAGAAACCCUGGUAUCC
rnacentral:rRNA from 1 species